GUGGGAAGUUUCAGGGGAUGUGAUUUAACCUGAAGCAUCUGCAAAUAUGCCUCUUCGAGAGGUAGACCGGGAGGCAUCUGCAGGUGUGUGGGCAUUUCCUGUAUUUAGAGACUCAUCCAAGACUUCCUCCGGUGAGCUCCCCUUAGUGCACUGGACUUAAGACUUGAUUUACCAAAAUCUUUUUUUUUUUUUUUCUGCAGCUUUGCAGAUCACACAGUUUGUGGGAAAAAAAAAAAAAAAAAAGCUCUACCUCCCCGCGUGUACUUUGAUGAUGUAGACAGCAUGAAGCUGAAGAACUGCACCCAUCUCGAAGGUGGAAAUAGCUGCCAUGUCCAUGUGUGCAGAGUCGGUCCAGGCUGUCUUGGCACUGAGUGCCUCACUCCAGCCCCCGCACCUUCGCAGGGACUACCUUUGAGCAACACAGCUAUAGACGUUUUGAAUAAGGCAAGAUUUGAAGAAGGGAAAGGAGAACAGUAUCUGUGUCUGCGUUAGGAUGGAUGCAAGAAGAUGCAAGGAGUUGGAAAUGAUUUCAGGAAGUGAAAGCAGUGAGGUAAAUGAUUCUUUCAAGGUGUUAAUUUAUCAAAGAAAUGAGAGAAGGAGCCAGAUAGAGGGAGUAACAGGGAAAGCCUUUGUAUGUAAAGAUGGGAGAAAUCUGGGCAUGUUUAUUUUCUUAAGACAAAGGGUUGGAGCAAAGCCUUGAGAAGAUGAAGAUACUGGAGGUGAGGCCAAAAGUAACGAAGUGGAAGGGACCAGAUGAAAUAGCUGAGGUCCUCGGAUGGAGAGGCCAGCAACUGAGAAAAGAGGGUGGAAGCCAAUAUGGAGAGGUUUGCGGAUAGAGGAGCCCGUGGACUUGUCUGGUUUUCCCUUAAAAGAGAAAAGAGGCUAAUAUGCUGAGAGCAAGGAGGAGAAAUUAGAGCAGAGAGUUUAAAGAGAAAGGGAGAAGUUUGAAAUAGCUGCUGAGAAGAAUGGGGA
rnacentral:lncRNA from 1 species